AUUGAACGCUGGCGGCAUGCUUUACACAUGCAAGUCGAACGGUAACAGGUCUUCGGAUGCUGACGAGUGGCGAACGGGUGAGUAAUGCAUCGGAACGUGCCCAGUCGUGGGGGAUAACGCAGCGAAAGCUGUGCUAAUACCGCAUACGAUCUAUGGAUGAAAGCGGGGGAUCGCAAGACCUCGCGCGAUUGGAGCGGCCGAUGUCAGAUUAGCUAGUUGGUGGGUAAAGGCCCACCAAGGCGACGAUCUGUAGCUGGUCUGAGAGGACGACCAGCCACACUGGGACUGAGACACGGCCCAGACUCCUACGGGAGGCAGCAGUGGGGAAUAUUGCACAAUAGAGGCGA
rnacentral:rRNA from 1 species